UACGGGGGGGGCUAGCGUUGUUCGGAAUUACUGGGCGUAAAGGGCGCGUAGGCGGUCUGCUAAGUUGGAUGUGAAAACUCUGGGCUUAACCCAGAGCCUGCAUUCAAAACUGACAGGCUGGAGUUCUGGAGGGGAUAGCGGAAUUCCUGGUGUAGCGGUGAAAUGCGUAGAUAUCAGGAGGAACACCGGUGGCGAAGGCGGCUAUCUGGACAGAAACUGACGCUGAGGCGCGAAAGCUAGGGGAGCAAACGGG
rnacentral:rRNA from 1 species